UAAUUUUUGGUGUAGGGCACGUUAAGUUUUGAGCUUAAAGGGGAGAGUUCAUUCUCUUAAAAUUAA
rnacentral:tRNA from 1 species